rnacentral:rRNA from 1 species
GAUGAACGCUGGCGGCGUGCCUAAUACAUGCAAGUCGAGCGAACGGACGAGAAGCUUGCUUCUCUGAUGUUAGCGGCGGACGGGUGAGUAACACGUGGAUAACCUACCUAUAAGACUGGGAUAACUUCGGGAAACCGGAGCUAAUACCGGAUAAUAUUUUGAACCGCAUGGUUCAAAAGUGAAAGACGGUCUUGCUGUCACUUAUAGAUGGAUCCGCGCUGCAUUAGCUAGUUGGUAAGGUAACGGCUUACCAAGGCAACGAUGCAUAGCCGACCUGAGAGGGUGAUCGGCCACACUGGAACUGAGACACGGUCCAGACUCCUACGGGAGGCAGCAGUAGGGAAUCUUCCGCAAUGGGCGAAAGCCUGACGGAGCAACGCCGCGUGAGUGAUGAAGGUCUUCGGAUCGUAAAACUCUGUUAUUAGGGAAGAACAUAUGUGUAAGUAACUGUGCACAUCUUGACGGUACCUAAUCAGAAAGCCACGGCUAACUACGAG